rnacentral:misc_RNA from 1 species
GAAAUGCGAUAAGUAAUGUGAAUUGCAGAAUUCAGUGAAUAAUCGAAUCUUUGAACGCACCUUGCGCUCCUUGGUAUUCCUUGGAGCAUGCCUGUUUGAGUAUCAUGAAAUCUUCAAAGUAAAUCUUUUGUUAACUCAAUUGGUUUCUACUUUGGUAUUGGAGGUCUUUGCAGCUUCACACCUGCUCCUCUUUGUUCAUUAGCUGGAUCUCAGUGUUAUGCUUGGUUCCACUCGGCGUGAUAAGUUAUCUAUCGCUGAGGACACUGUAAAAGGUGGCCAAGGUAAAUGCAGAUGAACCUCUUCUAAUAGUCCAUUGACUUGGACAAUACUUUUAUGAUCUGAUCUCAAAUCAGGUAGGACUACCCGCUGAACUUAAGC